UCAUUACGGAGUUGCAAAACUCCCAACCAUUGUGAACCUACCUCACCGUUGCUUCGGCGGGUGGCUUGGGGCAACCCAGGCCGCGUCGGCUCCCCUCGCGGAGCUGGCAGCCCGUCAGAGGCCCCUAAACUCUUGCAUAUUGGCCUCUCUGAGUAACUUAUACAAUAAGUCAAAACUUUCAACAACGGAUCUCUUGGUUCUGGCAUCGAUGAAGAACGCAGCGAAAUGCGAUACGUAAUGUGAAUUGCAGAUUUCAGUGAAUCAUCGAAUCUUUGAACGCACAUUGCGCCCGCUAGUAUUCUGGCGGGCAUGCCUGUUCGAGCGUCAUUUCAACCAUCAAGCGCCUGCGCUUGUGUUGGAGCCCUGCGGCUGCCGCAGGCUCCCAAACCCAGUGGCGGGCUCGUCGUCGUACCGAGUGCAGUAAACUUACCACGCUCAGGGCACGCGACGGGUGACCGGCCGUAAAACCCCCCCCUUCUCAAGGUUGACCUCGGAUCAUGUANGAAUACCCGCUGAACUUAAGCAUAUCAAUAAGCGGAGGAAAAGAAACCAACAGGG
rnacentral:rRNA from 1 species